AUGUCGUCCAGCACGAUCCGGAAGGCGCUGGGCGCCGUCAAGGACCAGACCAGCAUCGGGCUCGCCAAGGUCACCAGCAACAUCGCGCCGGAGCUCGACGUGCUCAUCGUCAAGACCACCAGCCACGACGACGAGCCGGCCGAGGAGCGCCACAUCCGCGAGAUCCUCCACCUCACCUCCGGAUCCCGCGCCCACGUCGCCGCCGCGGUCGCCGGGUGCGCCCGCAGGCUCUCCCGCACCCGCGACUACGUCGUCGCCCUCAAGUCGCUCAUGCUCGUGCACCGUCUCCUCACCGACGGCGACCCCUUCUUCCACCGGGAGCUCCUCCACGCCACGCGCCGGGGCACCCGCCUCCUCAACCUCUCCGACUUCCGUGACGAGGCGCACUCUGGGUCGUGGGACCACUCCGCCUUCGUCCGCACCUAUGCGCUGUACCUCGACCAGCGCCUCGAGUUCCUCCUCCACGAGCGCAAGCAGGGCUCCAACGCUAAUGGAAGCGCCAGCCUGAACGGGCCAUCGCCGCGUGACCGUUGGGGUUCUCCUGACCCGUAUGGCCGCCGGUCACCCUCCUACACCUCCCCUCCGGGGAAUGGGUAUGGAGGGUACGAUGAUAACCGUGACAGCAGGAAUGGCGGGAACUCUGAUGACAAGAGGCCGCCGACCCCUGUGAGGGAUAUGAAGCCGGAGCGGGUCCUUGGCCGUAUGCACCACCUGCAGCAGCUGCUCGACAGGUUCCUUGCCUGCCGCCCCACGGGUGGCGCGAAGCAGAGCAGGAUGGUGCUGGUUGCACUGUAUCAGAUGGCGAGGGAGAGCUUCCAGCUCUACGCCGAUAUCUGUGAGGUACUUGCGGUGCUGCUGGACAGGUUCUUUGACAUGGAAUACGCUGAUUGUGUCAAGGCCUUCGAGGCAUAUGCCAGUGCGGCAAAGCAGAUUGAUGAGCUUUGCUCAUUUUAUGCUUGGUGUAAGGACACCGGGGUAGCGAGAUCAUCGGAGUACCCAGAGGUGCAGCGGGUCACUGAUAAGUUACUGGAGACAUUGGAGGAGUUUAUGAGGGACCGGGCAAAGCGCCCCAAGAGUCCACCACGGGAGCCUGAGCCUGAGCCGGUCAAGGAGGAAGAGCCAGAGCCGGACAUGAACAGCAUCAAGGCACUUCCUGCACCAGAGGACUACAAGGAGCCUGAACCUGAGAAGGUGGAGGAAGAGGUGAAGCCAGAGCCCCCGCCGCAGCCCCAGGGUGAUCUGGUGGAUCUUAGAGAAGACACUGUGAGUGCAGAUGAGCAAGGCAAUAGGCUUGCUCUGGCCCUCUUCCAAGGGCCACCUGCUGCUGGUGGUAGCAAUGGGUCAUGGGAGGCCUUCCCUUCCAAUGGUGGCAACGAAGUGACUUCUGCAUGGCAGAAUCCUGCGGCUGAGCCCGGUAAGGCUGAUUGGGAACUUGCCCUUGUGGAGACGGCUAGCAACUUGUCCAAGCAGAAGGCUGUAAUGACAGGUGGUAUGGAUAAUCUGCUACUGAAUGGUAUGUACGACCAAGGUGUUGUGCGUCAGCAUGUCAACGCACAGGCGACUAGUGGGAGCUCCAGCAGUGUUGCCCUACCUGCGCCUGGACAGAAGACACAGAUGCUGGCUCUUCCGGCACCAGACGGUUCGAUGCAGAACGUUGGUGGGGAUCCUUUUGCGGCAUCCCUUACCUUUGCACCACCAUCCUAUGUGCAGAUGGCCGAGAUGGAGAAGAAGCAGCAGUUCUUGACACAGGAGCAGAUGAUGUGGCAGCAGUACCAACGGGACGGCAUGCAGGGGCCGUCGAGCUUGGCCAAGCUCGAUCGGACCUACAACAAUGGCUUCGGCCCAAACCCAGCCAUGCCAUACGGGAUGCCAAACGCGCCAAUGGCGAAUACAGGGUAUUACUACCCCACUUACUGA
rnacentral:rRNA from 1 species